rnacentral:rRNA from 1 species
AGACACGGUCCAGACUCCUACGGGAGGCAGCAGUGGGGAAUAUGCACAAUGGGCGCAAGCCUGAUGCAGCCAUGCCGCGUGUGUGAAGAAGGCCUUCGGGUUGUAAAGCACUUUCAGCGGGGAGGAAGGCGGUGAGGUUAAUAACCUCAUCGAUUGACGUUACCCGCAGAAGAAGCACCGGCUAACUCCGUGCCAGCAGCCGCGGUAAUACGGAGGGUGCAAGCGUUAAUCGGAAUUACUGGGCGUAAAGCGCACGCAGGCGGUCUGUCAAGUCGGAUGUGAAAUCCCCGGGCUCAACCUGGGAACUGCAUUCGAAACUGGCAGGCUAGAGUCUUGUAGAGGGGGGUAGAAUUCCAGGUGUAGCGGUGAAAUGCGUAGAGAUCUGGAGGAAUACCGGUGGCGAAGGCGGCCCCUGGACAAAGACUGACGCUCAGGUGCGAAAGCGUGGGGAGCAAACAGGAUUAGAUACCUGGUAGUCCACGCCGUAAAC